rnacentral:rRNA from 1 species
AGUGAACGCUGGCGGUAGGCCUAACACAUGCAAGUCGAACGGCAGCACAGUAAGAGCUUGCUCUUACGGGUGGCGAGUGGCGGACGGGUGAGGAAUACAUCGGAAUCUACUUUUUCGUGGGGGAUAACGUAGGGAAACUUACGCUAAUACCGCAUACGACCUACGGGUGAAAGCAGGGGAUCUUCGGACCUUGCGCGAUUGAAUGAGCCGAUGUCGGAUUAGCUAGUUGGCGGGGUAAAGGCCCACCAAGGCGACGCUCCGUAGCUGGUCUGAGAGGAUGAUCAGCCACACUGGAACUGAGACACGGUCCAGACUCCUACGGGAGGCAGCAGUGGGGAAUAUUGGACAAUGGGCGCAAGCCUGAUCCAGCCAUACCGCGUGGGUGAAGAAGGCCUUCGGGUUGUAAAGCCCUUUGUUGGGAAAGAAAAGCAGCAGGUUAAUACCCCGCUGUUCUGACGGUACCCAAAGAAUAAGCACCGGCUAACUUCGUG